GUGCGCUGCAGGCUCCUAUCCGAGGUGUGCGUGCGUGCGUGCGUGCGUGCCUAUAUACAGGGACACGUGUCCCGUAGAGGCAUACGUGUCCGAAUGGCGAUUCUUCGAAGCGUCACGCAUGCGGCAAUAGCGGGUGCGUUUCGCCUCUGAGAACGUUCCGCUACGUCUCCCAGCGUACUUGUCAGUGCAGCGUAUACCUCGUGCGUCUUCGAUAUUCAGAACUGCACGCAUACGCAUGCGUCGUCGUGCGCACAGAACCUGCACGUCGACGGAAACAAAAUGCAUAGGAUGGAAUGCCCUGCUCACGGUCGCUUUGAUGGGCUGUCUUCGGGCCACCAGGCGUCAUCAGCAGCAGAGCGAUCUCAUGGUCAUCGGGCGGGUGCUGUAGGCAUGCACUCGAGCAACCAGUACUGACCUGGUACCCGCGAUUGCCAGUCUCCCGAGCAUCUGCAAGCGCAUUAUACUACACGUGUCCUGGUCUGCGAUCUGCGCAGGUCGGGCCCCGGGUCCCAGAGCACGAGGUCGUGAGAUCAAUGCACUCGCUCACGGAAGCUUCAGAAAAUGAUGGAUAGCGGCUUGAACAUGUUUGGGGAAACCGCGCGAAACAGCAAGAGAUGCCCGGCGAGCACAUAUACGCAGAACUGGACGAGAGCAUUCCUGAUUCGCAAGGGCAUCCCUAGGGGUGCGCGCACACCGUCCCGUACCACGCGCUGGGGCUUGCCGGUCUCGAGGACGCAUCCUGCCCGCUAGACCUCUGAGCUGGGGUUCGUUGUCGUUGACGUUGCAGGGCACGCAACUGUACGAGCGGACUCCAAUUGUCUUGCAAGCUCUUCUAGCUGCUCAUGAAAGAUGCCCUUCAUAUCAGCGAUAUCUUCGCGCAGUUCCUGGACGAGCUCCUCUUUCUCCCCGAGCAGCUCGAGAAGGGCCUGCUCGCGUUCAUGCAUCCGCCGGAUUUCAUCGUCCAGACGCUUCACUUGGGCAGCCUGUGAUUCAAGUUUCUCGUUAAGUUGUGCCAUCUCGCUCGUCAAGUUCUGAAUAAUGUCUUCGCGUCGCAUAAGUUCCGUUUGGAGACUGCGAAUCACAUUCGCGCGGUGACGCAGGUGCGACUGAACUUCCGUCCACUGCACGAGGUUUGGUAGCGAGCCCGAAAGCAGCAACUCUCCAGCACUUACUGAAGAGCCAGGCGUACUGUGCCUUUCGUCCACUGCGUCCUCGGGCGCGGAAACGUUGUCAAGUGUUUCCCCUGCCACCAACGAGGCCGUUGGUGUGUCGCGAACUGUCUGCACUGCCGACGCUUCACCAGGUUGCAUUUGCGAUGCUGUCGGAACGGCUUCGCAGAGAGAGGGCGUCGUCAUCAGCUGCCUGCGUUCGAUUUGAAGCCUUCUCCGCAAGCCGCCCAAAGCGUGGGCGGUUUCUCGUGCCUCAGACUCAUAAGCACGCUGAAGCCGCAACCAGUCUUCUCGAAAAGUGAAGAGGGUCCUGCGUAGCUGAGCGCAACACGUGCGGAUCUGGCUGAGCACUUUUGCCGCAGCGACGCGCUGUUCGCGUAGCGUCGACCCCAAGGCGACAAAGUCACGGAGUUUCCAUUCGAGCUCGCGUGCACGUGUGUCGAGUCGCGUAUGCUCUUCGAGUAAUGCCGCUCGGGCUACAUUUGCUGCCUCCAGUUCUGCUCGGAUCUGGAGAACCUGCUGUUCGAGCCGCUCUUGGAUGGUCGCUUCGCCGGCACUACGCUGACGGAGUUGUUCGUGCAGUACCUGAAUUUGUCGCAUGAGUGGUUUCGUCGCCUCGGAGACGCUCCUGGAGAGCUCUUCAUUCUGUUGUUCCAACUCAGACACAUGCGCACGAGCUUGUGCGACUUCCUCGCGCCACUGACGCUCUCGCCGCCCCUGUUCCUGCUGUGUUCGCUCGAGGAGAGCCUUCACAUGUUCGAGCUGGGACUGCAGAACUUCGAGCCGAUCCCUGUACUCACUCUUGGCUAUUUCAAGCUGUUCCUGCGCUUUCAUGGCCAGACGCCUAGUCAGGCUUCGCAGCUCGGCCUCGUGUUCGUCGCGGAGCUCGUGAAGUCUAGUCUCUAGCGUCUGCAGCUCAGACCGCUGGACGUGUUCCUGCUCGCAAUGCUUUCGUUGCUCUUCUGCUUGUUUCAACUGCGCCAGUUGUGCCUGGAGACGAGCCUGGCAUUCCUGAACGCGCUCUUCCUCCUUUCGCAGCUGGAGUGCAGUGCUAUUCGCUCGGCUACGCUCCGAGUCGACAAGACGUUCGAGUUCACGUAUACGUUUUCUCUGGGCUUGUACUUGCUGAUCUCGUUCGUAAACGAGCUUGGAUAGACGCUGCGCUUCCUGAUAUAGCUCCUGUGCGUUCUCUGCGGCCUCCAAAGAAGGGCGUGGACUCGGGAGCCGCCCCGGUCCGACCUGCGAACCGUAGCUGCCCGCUCCAGAGUCACGCUCCUUUGCAUCAGUUCGCGGACUGUGGCCUUCUUCAGCACCGGUCGCAGCAAGAACGUGCGCUCUUGAAGCAUCAUCGGUCUCGCUGCGCAGCGUUUUCGAGUCGAACGAAGCGCCAGAAUCCUGCUCAUGGGACGCUUCCGGUGAACGUCCACGCACCUCUGCGGUUGCAGACAACGCGGGUUCCGUUAUCUCGGGCGCAGCAACGUCUUCCCAUUCCUCCUCGUCAGCAACUGCUCGUCGCAUCCAGCAGGUGGCCCAACGCUGAACUAGAACCAAUAAACUCU